rnacentral:rRNA from 1 species
UACGUAGGGGGCAAGCGUUUGUCCGGAAUCAUUGGGCGUAAAGCGCGUGUAGGCGGCCAGAAAAGUCCGCUGUGAAAACUCGAGGCUCAACUUCGAGCUGUCGGUGGAAACUUUCUGGCUAGAGUCCGGAAGAGGAGAAUGGAAUUCCUGGUGUAGCGGUGAAAUGCGCAGAUAUCAGGAAGAACACCCGUGGCGAAGGCGGUUCUCUGGGACGGUACUGACGCUGAGACGCGAAAGCGUGGGGAGCGAACAGG